GGUCUCCUUCCCCCCACCUUUCAUUCCUGGGAUUCCUCUGGAUGUAUUUCUCUCUCUUUAGCUGUUAAUACUGAGUGUACAUGUCCUGAGCUCAUUUUACACAAUUUGGACGUCAUGGACGCAUGCUGUGAGCAGUUGAUGGAUAACACUUACAGAAAAAGAAUCCUACUGGAAAAUGAUGUUGUCGGUGCAGUCGAGAGUUUACCUAAUCCAAUGUGUGCCCCUAACCUGGGACCAAUCUGAACAAGCUGUCCGGGAAAAGAUUCGGGGGUCCCCUUUGUGUUUUAGACUCUGAGAGUCAAGGUUGGAGCGGAUGGCUGCAGAGAAUCAACUGAGCAAUUAAGAAGAAAGCACCUGUUUGCGAGAUGUUGUGCAUUUUGGGUAACCAUAGCGGUGAGAUGUCUGUAGUAGACAGCCCUUUUUUUGAGGAACUCUGUUUUGAAAGAAAACUCCACUACCAUCCCUGACUCUAAGGGGAAGCCUACCUUUUUGUCUUCACUUUUAUGUUGAGCACUGUUUGUUUUGUUUGUUUUUGUCCGUGUUUAAUUUGGGAACCUCAGGUCUGUGCUAGUGCUGUGUGUGUGGCUAUAUCUGUUUGAAUACUUGUGAAAUAAAAAAUAAAUCAGUUGCUGUUACUGAAACUAAGUAACCGUUUGAUGCUUGAGAAAA